CGGACGACGCUGGCGGCGUGGAUUAGGCAUGCAAGUCGGACGGUAGGGCUUUAUCGUAAGAUAGAGUUUGAGAGUGGCGAACGGGUGAGUAACACGUAGGAAUCUACCCUUAAGACGGGGACAACCCAGGGAAACUUGGGCUAAUACCGGAUGAGAGUGCGAGAGAUUGCAAUUUAAAAGGAUGGCGAAAGUUGUCGCUUAGGGAUGAGCCUGCGGUCUAUUAGUUAGUUGGUGAGGUAAUGGCUUACCAAGGCGAUGAUAGGUAGGCGGCCUUAACGGGUGGUCGCCCACACUGGGAUUGAGAGACGGCCCAGACUCCUACGGGAGGCAGCAGUAGGGAAUAUUGCGCAAUGGGGGGAACCCUGACGCAGCAACGCCACGUGUGGGAAGAAGCAUUUCGGUGUGUAAACCACUGUCGGAAAGGAAUAACGGAAGACUUCGGUCUUUAUGAAUGUACUUUUAGAGGAAGCACCGGCAAACUUCGUG
rnacentral:rRNA from 1 species